rnacentral:rRNA from 1 species
GUCGUCAGCUCGUGUCGUGAGAUGUUGGGUUAAGUCCCGCAACGAGCGCAACCCUUAAGCUUAGUUGCCAUCAUUAAGUUGGGCACUCUAGGUUGACUGCCGGUGACAAACCGGAGGAAGGUGGGGAUGACGUCAAAUCAUCAUGCCCCUUAUGAUUUGGGCUACACACGUGCUACAAUGGACAAUACAAAGGGCAGCUAAACCGCGAGGUCAUGCAAAUCCCAUAAAGUUGUUCUCAGUUCGGAUUGUAGUCUGCAACUCGACUACAUGAAGCUGGAAUCGCUAGUAAUCGUAGAUCAGCAUGCUACGGUGAAUACGUUCCCGGGUCUUGUACACACCGCCCGUCACACCACGAGAGUUUGUAACACCCGAAGCCGGUGGAGUAACCAUUUAUGGAGCUAGCCGUCGAAGGUGGGACAAAUGAUUGGGGUGAAGUCGUAACAAGGUAGCCGUAUCGGAAGGUGCGGUUGGAUCACCUC